rnacentral:RNase_P_RNA from 2 species
GUGGGUAACCAAGACAAUCGCUAUCAGGAUAUUUAUACUUGAUAGAGGAAAGUCCGGACUCCUAACGAAUAAGACACCUUGGGAGACUUGGUAAAACAAGUACAAUCAAGGAGGACGCAAGUCCAUGGAAAGUGCCACAGAAAAUAACCGCCUUAAACGGUAAGGGUGAAAACGGGUGGUAAGAGCACCCGAUUAUAUGUAGCAAUACAUAUGAUGGGUAAACCCUGUCUGGAGCAAGACAAAGUAGGCAUGUACAGUAGUUCGUUCUGAUUUAAACAUGCGGGUAUGUCGCGUAGAUAAAUGAUUGUCGCGUUUGUAGUAUACAAAUGAACAGAAUCCGGCUUAUUGGUUAGCCACCUUA